GUCCGCACGGCGCCUGCGCAGGCGACCGCAGGCUUGCGGGGCGCGAAGGGGCGGGCCAAGGGCGGGGGCCGAGAGGGAGGCUAGGCGGUCCCGGCAAGCGGCGCCGCGGGGUUGGUUGCUGUCCUGAGGCCGGACUCAACGGGUCCCGGCUGAGCCACUGGGUGAGCUCCUCCCGGGCCAGCCACGAGCCUGCGAGGGAGCGAUGCGGCGCCGCGCGCUCUGCUGUACAAGCCUGUGGACUGUGUGACGAGGAGCACGCUGGUCCUCCAUGCAGGACUUGCUGAAGCACACUCCCACCAGCCACCCCGACCACCCCUUGCUGCAGGACGCCCUCCGCAUCUCACAGAACUUCCUACCCAGCAUCAAUGAGGAGAUCACACCCCGACAGCAGUCCAUGACGGUGAAGAAGGGGGAGGUCCCCUGCCUCCAGCCUCACCUUGAGCUAGAAAUGCCUGUUCUUCCUUUGGCCUGGAGGCCAUGGGUGAGUAGAGGCUCCUUUGGGGCCUUUGCUUACCCUGGGCACUCCUGCUUUGUUCUGAAGCUUCAAACACUGUUGGCUUCAUUUGAGAACAACUCAAAGCCUUUUAUUUCCAGGCUGCAGUGGCUCUUCGCCUUCCUGGAUCACAGCCAAGUGUGUACAGGGGGAAGGGGAGGUGGAAAGGAAGCUCUGGUCAGGCCCCCACAGUGACAGCCUCCCUGCCCCAGGACCUACCUGCAUCUGACGACAAGCGCCUACUUAUGGAAGAAGCUGCUGAGCCCUUGUUCAUGCUGGCGCAGAUUCAUGAUGGAGCCUGUGGGGCCAUGGCAGGGCCCCCUUGGGUCCCAUUCUGUGCUGUGCUGCCCAACUCUCUCUCUCCAGUGAUUCCGCCUACUGCGUUAAAACUGGGGCCCUAAUGUGCUAUAAAUGUCAUUCAUCUACUGUGAAUUUUGAGCACCCACAUUGCCAGGCAUCCCUGGGCUGUUCAGGGUACAGAGGAAAAGGGGGGCGAAUGGCCUGGGACAGGGACCCACAGGGACAGUUGCCCUGUCUGUUAAGGCGCUAUAUGGUCUCCAGGGCUCCAGCUUUGACUUGGACCUGGUCAACUACUUCCUGUUCCUGAGAGGCUGACAGCAGAGAACCCCUGCUGCAGUGAGGUGGGUGCUGCCCUGAAGGGUGCUGAACAGGCAGGGGCCUGAGCCAGGGGCCACACUACCUCACCUAGAGAUUGCUGUGCCUCCCCUUCAAUGCAGGAACUGCAAGAUCCGUGGUGACAUCAUUGCCCCACUAGCUGGUGCCAGGCCAGGCGUGUGGACUAGCACUGAACCAGCGCACUCUGGAGUGUGCUGGGAGAGCAUCCCAACCACUGCUAAGCCUCCAAGGGUGCUGCCGCCCAGCCCCUCUGGGAACUGCCCACAUAGGUGUCCUCCUGCUGACUGUCUGUAAUGUCACCUCCCUCAUACCCAAAGAAGGUCUGUGUGCUCUUUUACCAGCAGUGUCACCGGCGAUGGGCCCAAGACUGAACCGGGCUCUCCCAGAGUGAGUCUGGGCCAAGUCUACCAUCCACAGGGCUUGACAGAAGCCACUUCCAAGGACAGCAACAUCCUCACCUGUGAGAGAGCAGACCCACCAGGUUCCUGGAUUUGAUCUCCUGGGUGGAGAUUCAUCCAGUCCAGGCCAAGCAUUGGCUCAAUAUUUCUCUUCUCUUUCAGUCUUUUUAAAAAAAUCCAUCAACUCAUUCCUUCAUUCAUUGCUCAAUGCGGGGAAUAUCUUGGUGGCUCUGACAGACCUAACCCCUUACUUCAGAGGAACAGACAUUGAACAAUGGAUUAUGCAGUUAUAUAGUAAGUGUGCUGUUCUACAAAUGUGAAUGGCCAAGUGUCAGUGGGAGGAUAGUCUUACCUCCUAAAUGCUGGAGACUCCACCUUUUAGAGUUAAGGGUGGUAUCAAAAUACUUAACUGGAACAGCAAAGGCUUUGGCCAGGAGGAUGGGUCCUCGCCAUGGACAACCAGAGCAGCACCUGAGGGCUGAGCAGGGGCGAUCCAGUGACUUUCUUGUGCCUUGACACUGCUAUAGCCCCUUUUCUAUGCAGAGACAGACCCAUGCUCUCAAACAGCAUGACACCAGUCUCUCUGAAGCCUUUGAAAUCUGUUGUCCUUCUUGUCUGCUGUACCCUCGAUUUCCUCACCACAUCUGGCCAGCCUGAUAUGGGCCCAGGCUCCUCCUUGGUGAGGACACACCCCUGUCCCCAUCACUUGAGAUACAGCAUGGAGUGAGAGUCCUGUGUGCUGAAGGACUUGCGUAGUGCCGAGGCUAGGAGGACCUAGAGAAUGGAAUGGAAGAGGGAGGAAGGGUACACAGGGUGGGGGGCUGAGGGGAAUACUGUGGAGGGGACUCGCCUCUCAGGUGCACCUGGAACCCAAAUAGCUAGAGAUGUUUCAGACCCAAGAAAUCUGGACUGCCUGCAAACACCUGUUACAGAUGCCACAUUCCUUUCUUUGAUCUGAGAAGCUGGGAGGUUGAAAGGGAGUUGUCACAUCUCCAGAGCUGGACUUGGCAUGGGUCAGGGCUAGCUGGGAGGCAGCCCCCUGCUUCUCCGGAGUCCGAACCCAUCUCCUUCCCAUGGGCAUCAUCCCAUCCAGGAGCUGGAGAGGAGCACAUGAGCAGCCACACUGGCAGGGCCCAGGACCAGCCCUCACCACAGGGCCGUGGUGCAUCCACCAUGCCUACACCUAGCUCCUUCCCACAGGCACCAUCCCGUCCUGGAGCUAGAGAAAUGCACAGGAGCAGCCACACUCACAGAGCCCAGUACCAGCCCUCACCAUAGGUUGCCCACUCAGGCCCAGCUCCUUUCCUGGGCCCCACCCCAUCCUGGAGUUGAAGCAGAGAACAGCAUGUAUGGGGCCUGGGAGCAGCCCUUACCACAGGGUCACCAAGCACCACGCCUGCAGUGCCCCUUGGGAGAACAUGGAAGGUGGGAAGGCACCAGGGACCUCAAGGGCUGCCCACUUGUGCAGUGGGUAUGGGGAGUUAUGGGAUGUCAGACCUCAGGGACCUGUGGACGUGGACACAGAUGAGGCCCUCUCAGAACCCACCUCUAGACUCCCUUCUAAGAAAGACAGACUGGCAGAUGCUGGCACAAUGUCCAGUUUAUAGAUAGGAAAACAGAUUCUGUGACAGAAUUUAUUUUCUCUCUUAGCCAGGAAAGGUACCUAUUCUGUUUAAGAUGAAAUGAACAGACUGGCACAGUGGCCUUCCUGGAUCAUUGGAGAAAUGAUUCUGAAAUGGGUUUCUUAUUGACAGUGUGUGUGUGCUUGCACAGUGCAGCCAGGUGCUCAGGCUCGCCCCAAGGGGGGAGAUGAGUGAGCGCGGCUGCAUUCCUCAUGCACCUCACUGCUGUCCUGCUCCAGCGCCUCAGCACGAAGGCGCCUGCCAGCACAAGGCCCGUCCAGUGGCCACAGCAGAAACGACAGCCACUUAGCACGCUCCUGUCACCCCCAGGUCUGCUCACAAGGUAAAUACACAUAACAAAAGUUUUAAAGGAAAAUCAAUAACUACAGUGAUUAAACACCAACCGUGAUUUGAAAAACGAAAUGUCAGUUUUAAAUGGUACCAAGCCAAGAACUUAAGAGCGAGUUCUCACCCAUUUUCUCUUCCUGAGAAACCAAACACUCUGUGCAAAAUGAUUCUAAACAGCAAGAUACAAGUAGGCAAAAAAUACACAUGGACACACACCGCCGGACUAGACGUGCCUGCCUGACUCUGCAGCAGGCCCUCUGUGGGCAGCUGGCCAUCAUCUCAGGCCCCAGGGGCUUGGUGCAUCCCAGGAUGCCCUUAGAGCUCUGCAGGUCUGCCUCCCCUCCCCACACUUCCCAGAUGAAGGCCCAGGCCCAGGAAGGAAGCACUCACUUCCCUGUCCUGCAUCUCCCUAGGGGUCACAGUCAUAUAGGUGGUGCUGCGCCAUUGCCUGGGGCUGAGAUGACAGCCCCACAGCAGGUUUAAAGGCCACAAGGCAGACUGCAGCUGAGCGUACGUUCCCAUACCAGGGGGUUGUGCUUCUGCCCUAGGAAUGGGGUCGAUAUUAAUGGUCUGAAAUGAAGAAGUUGCCCAAAUCAAGCUAGGAAGGGACUGGCUAAUUGGCCAGUGCGCUGGUGCUGCUCAUCCCUGGUGAUGCGGAGCCUCCAGAGAGAAGUAACAGCAGGGAGCUCCCCUUCAGACCUGCAGAGCUUCAGCUCAGGAAGGGGCCAGAAAACAUCGAAUCCAACCACGCAUUCCACAGAUAGGAAAGCAAGGUCCACUACCUGAGGUGUCCCCCUUUGGGGUCUUGGUCCUGGCCAGGCCACCAGGGGAGGUGGACUUUGACCUCAUGAUAGGUCCAAGGGCCCCUGUACUAAGCUGAGUUGACUUUU
ensembl:lincRNA